rfam:Parcubacteria bacterium GW2011_GWA2_47_10 TX72_C0018, whole genome shotgun sequence.
GGGCGUUUAGCUCAGUGGUAGAGCGACUCUUUGACGUAGAGUAGGCCGGGGGUUCAAUCCCCUCAACGCCCA